rnacentral:rRNA from 1 species
UACGUAGGAUGCAAGCGUUAUCCGGAAUUAUUGGGCGUAAAGAGUGUGUAGGCGGCACGUUAAGUUAAAUGUUAAAUCUCAGGGCUCAACUCUGGGGCUGCAUUUAAUACUGGCGAGCUCGAGGUAUGGAGAGGUAAGCGGAAUUAGUAGUGUAGCGGUGAAAUGCGUAGAUAUUACUAAGAACACCAAUGGCGAAGGCAGCUUACUGGCCAUAUCCUGACACUGAGGCACGAAAGCGUGGGGAGCGAACAGG